CAUGAUGAAACAUAUAAUUACGUAUGUUUUGGAUUGUAUAGAAGGUAGUCGCAGUCGCCUCAAACCUAUUUGAUAUGAUUUUAAAUAAUCCGCUGUCAAAAGAAUUGGAAAAACAAAUUCUUUAGAAUUUGGAAAAGUUUAAAAAUUUUAAAUUUUUAACUAACUGU
rnacentral:ncRNA from 1 species